CCCAAGUUCACAUUGCUAACCUACAACAGGGCUGAAGGGGAUCAUGUCUACGGUGGUCCAUUUCCAAGACAAAGUGCCUUGAAUCGGCUUAGGUCUGCAAAAUACAGAAGAAACAGGAUAUCCCAGGCCCCUGCUCAGACAGCCGAUGCCUGCUUAUCGGGAUCCCCCUUAGUUGCCCUCACCUGAACCAAAGAAGUUUAGUCUAAGAUAAAAGUUUACCAGUCUGCAAAAUAGCUGGCUUUGUCUGUUCUUAUCAGCCUGCCAGCUACGUAGGUCAUAAGUCAAAUAUUUAAAGAGCCCCAGGGCUAACUAGGAUUGCAAUGCACUGUGGGCUGCAACAAAAUGCAGCAAGACAACCCUAAAAAGACACCUACAGCCCCUGCCCAACAACCAAUAGGUGACAUCUGGGAAGACUGUGACCCCAUAGUGCUCAGCCUAUGAGGAACUGGGGGAGGGACCUGCACACUAAGGGAUAAAGUGCUUGUUAAAACCAUGCUGGAGGCUGGUGCAGUGGCUCACGCCUGUAAUCCCAGCACUUUAGGAGGCCGACGUGAGGCAGGCGGAUCACUUGGGGUCAGGAGUUUGACACCAGCCUGGCCAACCUGGUAAAACCCCAUCUCUAUUGAAAACACGAAAAUUAGCCAGGCGUGGUGGUGAGUGCCUGUGAUCCCAGCUACUCAGGAGGCUGAGGCAGGAGGAUCACUUGGACUCGGGAGGCAGAGUUACAGUGAGCCGAGAUCCUGCCACCGCACUCCAGCCUGGGCGACAGAGAAAGACCCCAUCUCAAAACAACAGCAACAACAACAAAACCGGGCUGGGCGUGCCUUCCCAUCGGACACCCGACCUCGCAAGACUGUCAUUAAAAGUCUCACUCUCGCUGUUCUCUGGGUUGUGAGUCCAUUCUCUGGGUGUGGACAGGCAUUCAGCUCAGUCUACGGCCCGCAGACAGAUUUCCUAGAAAUAACUGCUCCUACUUCUCAACUCUUAACAAAAAGGUCUCUGAAAAGGAAUUUGGAGGAAACAGACUAUUCCAGUGAAUAGUGUACAAGCCUGGGAGAUGCGGACUUUGGUGUAAAAUGAAGAUCCUUAAGGGCAGGGCCUCUGGUUCAUUUUUGUCAUCUCCACCUAGCGGAGAGCGCGGCACACGGCAAUGAUACGGGAGUGCGGGGGAAGGGAAGAGUGUGGUCCCUUUAAAUGAUACAGAAGGGAGGUGCUGGGUAGAGGGGGGCGUGGUCCCCGGCUAGGGCUCCACCCCCCCGGACCUGGGUGAGGACAGGCACUUCUGCCUUCUUGCCCCAAUGUUGCAUUUUCCAAGACCACCCUGGCCCGCCAUGCCCCCAUUCUGAGCCUAUAAAAACCCGAGACCCUAGCAGGGCAGAGGCAGAAACUGCUGGAUGCUGAGAGGAACGCAUCAGUGGAAGAAAACAAGCGGCUGGACGUGGAGAGGACGUCAAGGGAGCAUGCCGGCGGAAGAGCACACCACAGACGCCGGCAGGCCACCGAGCGGCAGGACCAGGCGGAGUUUGGCCGGGGCAGUCGGAGGAGAGCUAGGCCACUAAGCAGCUCAACUCCAGGAGAUAAACCAUCUCCCUUGUGGCUCCUCCGUCGGCUGAGAGCUGCUUCCACUCAAUAACACUUUGCACUCGUUCUCCAAGCCCCCGUGUGAUCCGAUUCUUCUGGUACACCCAGGCAAGAACCCAGGAUACAGAAAGGCCUCGGUCCUUUCCACAAGUACCUCUACUUGAGGUACUCAUUGACCUGGUUAACACAAGCUGCCUACAGACGCCAAAACUAAGGGCACCCUGGAACACAGGCUUCAGCUGUAAACAUUCACCCCUGGGCACUGCCGUGGGGUGGGAGCCUGCCUGAGUGUAUGCUCCCCUAGAGGUUUGAGCUGCGGGGCACUGAAGAAGUGAGCCACACUCCCAUCGCACACUGCGAGGGGGACAAAGGAACUUUUCCUCUUUUAACUGGGGCCUCAUCUGGAAUCUCGGAAGGUGAAUGUCUGCCUUCGAAAACCCUACCACCUGUCUUUCUUGUGGAACCAUCAAACUCCAAGUGGACAGGCAACUGGAGCCUCAGAUAAUGACUCCCCUUUGCUAGGAACCCUUAGACAGACCUCUGGGAGGAAUUUGACUGCCGUUUUCUCAAAAACAACGCCCCCUGUCAGCGGGAAGCAGCUAAGACAGGUCAUCGUCCAUAUUCUAAUAGCAGUUAGAUGUACGUUUUCAGAGAGGGGAAAUGAUACAGGAGUGCGGGGAAGGGAAGAGUGUCAUCUCUUUAAAUGAUACAGAAGGGAGGUGCUGGGUAGAAGAGGGUGUGGUCCCUGGCUAGGGCUCCACCCCCACGGACCUAGGUGAGGGCAGGCACUUUCUCCUUCUCACCCAAAUGUUGCAUUUUCCAAGAUCACCCUGGCCUGCCAUGCCCCCAUCCUGGGCCUAUAAAAACCCUGAGACCCUAGCAAGGCAGAGAUAGAAGCUGCCGGAUGCUGAGAGAAACACAUCAGUGGAAGGGAAGAAGAAAAGCGGCUGGACAUGGAGAGGACGUCAGUGGAGCAUGCCGGCGGAAGAGCACACCCACAGACCCUGGCACGCCGGCAGGCCACGUAGCGGCAGGCCACGUAGCGGCAGGCCACGUAGCGGCAGGCCACGUAGCGGCAGGCCAAGGCGGAGUUUGGCCGGGGCAGUCGGAGGAGAGCUAGGCCACUAAGCAGCUCAACUCCAGGAGAAAACCAUCUCCCUUCUGGCUCCUCCAUCAGCUGAGAGCUGCUUCCACUCAAUAACACUUCGCACUGAUUCUCCAAGCCCAGGUGUGAUCCGAUUCUUCUGGUACACCCAGGCAAGAACCCAGGAUACAGACAGCCCUCUGUCCUUUUGAUAACUAGAGGGUCUCAUUGACCUGGUUAACACAAGCUGCCUACAGACGGCAAAACUAAAAGAGCACCCUGGAACACACGCCCACUGGGGCUUCAGCUGUAAACAUUCACCCCUAGACACGGCUAUGGGGUUGGAGCCUGCCUGUCUGUAUGCUCCCCUAGAGGUUUGGGCAGCAGGGCACUGAAGAAUCAAGCCACACCCCCAUCGCACACCCUGCGAGGGGGACAAGGGAACCUUUCUCUUUUCAGUUGGUCUUAAUAAACACUGAGUAAAUGAAUGAUUACGCACUCAGAAAAAUCAGUUAUCCUCUCCCACUCCGUGCCUGGGAAGUACCAACGGGUACUGAAACGUAAUGAGUAAUGUCUAGAGAUUUUCUCCACAGGAUAGAAACAAAGCUCAAAGAGGCAGCAAGUUGAAGAAAGUGUGACACUGUUUUAUUUUUAGGAUUUUUUCCUCUUUUUUAAAAUAAAUAUACGUGUAGAGAGACAGGGUCUCCCUUUGUUGCCCAGGCUGAUCUCGAACUCCUGAGCUCAAGCUGUCCUCCCACCUCAGCCUCCCAAGGGCUGGGAUCACUGGCAUGAGCCUCUGCACCCAGCCCUUAGGAUUUUUUUUUCUUUUUUAAAAUUUUAAUUAUUUUAUAUAUAUUUUUAAGUUCCAGGGUACAUGUGCAGGAUGUGCAGGUUUGUUACAUAGGUAAACGUGUGCCAUGGUGGUUUGCUGCACCUGUCACCCUGUCACUAGGCAUGAGGACCAGCAUGCAUUAGCUCUUUUCCCUAAUGUUCUCCAUGCCCCCUGGCCCAGCCCUCUCCCAACAGGCCCCAGUGAGUGUUGUUCCCCUCCCGGGAUUUUUUUUCUUAAGGAAACACACCACAUCAGGCGUUGAAGUGAGUGUAUUGACUGUCUGAGGUUUGUGUGCACUUUUUAACCAGAAGUCAUGGCUGGGGACACAAAAGCACCUCCUUGCCUAUGUAGUUUUGUUCCUUUACUGCUUUAAACAAGCAAGAUGUGGUUUGCAUUCCUUUCGCUGCUGGUGUUGUUGGCUUUGUGUUUCUCAACAGAAAUAACUUGCCUUGCCUUUGCUCUCAAGGUUGUGAAAGCCCCCCACCCCCAUAUGUUCCUUCCACUCAUUUGUCACCGAGACCCUCAGUGUUGCUAUCUGUGCAUAAUGUGUGUGGGUCGGGUUGUGUCAAGCAUCAGACGACGUCGGUACCUCUCCUCACUGUGAAGGAUGACCCUGUACACACCACUGCUCUAGGCAAGGAUGCGACCCACCGUCCCGGGGUUAACCACAUCAGUGUCACCAUCACAAGGGGGUGACAGCCCUUUACAGAUUACAUCUCCUUUUCCUGGUGAUUCUCCCUCUUAAUCCCUAAAUGAGUCCUGCAAGAUGGGUGUUGAUUCUUCCUAUAGCACAGCUGAAAGAGUUGAAUGGCUCGUCCUAGAGCACACAGUUUGGCAGGGCUGAGUAAAAUGAAACCCAGUGCUUGUCCCUCCAGGCUGCGGCGAACCUGCACUAGAGUUUUAUGAAAGUCCAACUUCCUGGCGAUAGGCAGAAAAAGCAACGAUCACCUUCCCUGAUAUUUUCACCUAGCAGACAGUCUUCAGCCCAGAGAACAUCUUCCCAAAGUCCAAGACAGAAGGUACAUGUAGAAAUGAAAUAGAGGUUCCUCUUCAAAGGGACUUUCCUCCCAGUCUAAUUCAGAAUAGAUAGUAACCUCUUCUAGAAGCAAAGUUUACUCAAAGACCUGUGUUAAUAUUCUUAAAUUCUGCUAGCUGUAAUAAAGAAAUCAAUAUACUCUGUUCUUAGCUCCCACAUUUUAGUCUAGGUAUUUGCCCUGGCAUGCCUGAACCAGUCCAAGCAAGAAUUAGGUCAUAGCCUCUUCCUCUUCCUUAUUUGGAAGUGUUUUUGCCUCUCUCAGCAUUCCACAAGUUACUUCCUCUCUUCCUUUGUUCUCCUCUGCCUUUGCCUCUUUUGGGAAGUUCUAAGUUGCUAGCCAAUCGAGACAAACAGAAUGUAAGGUCCCAUUCCAGCCGAUAGAAACUGGGCACAGCAGUAGGGUAGCUGCGUCAGGUUAUAAAUGACCCUGUCUUUUUUUGUGUGUGCUCUUGUGGCAAGACUGCUAGCGAGCGGCACCCUUUCUGCAGAAAGUAAACUAGCCUUGCUGAGAGAUCCUUUGUCUCAGUGUUGAUUUCUGCAACACCGAGCACCCGUUCCCAACAGUAAAUGUGUCUGCCUGUGUGUGUACACAUCCACCCAUCAGCCACAACCCUAUGCCUGAAGCCAGGCACUAGAAUGAAAUUCUCAGGGUCAUGUCAUGUUUCAGAUUUCAAGUCUCACUUCCCGCACCUGUUACCAUUUGGGUCUAUGUCUCCCUCCCAGAUCAUCCUCUGAUUCUACCAGAGCCAAACCCGGAACCCUCUGCUCAUUUCACCCUUUCAACACACAUUUUCCAGGCACUUCUGCUGCUCAGCAUCUCCCAAGGGUGAGCCCUGAGCUCUUGCAGGGAUGAAUGCUUUCCAUGGCUUUUCUGUCUGCCUGCAGUUACAACCCCUGAUCUCUGGGGACAGGACCUGCCAGGUCUGUCUGGAGAAUACCCAUGUGAGACUGAAACUGGCUUCUCCCACUCUCAGCCCCAGUGACCUGCUCUGUAAGGCUGGUUAUAGGUGUGGCUGCUGCCCCUGCCCAAAUGCUUUAGGUUUCCCUCCUGGGAUUCUCCUGCCCCUCUAAGCAGCUCUCCAGGGGACCCCAUCCUGACAAAGAAAGCAGAAAAUGGAGUUCCUGAUGAGAAAAGAACUGUUCUGUGAGGAACACAAGUCCUUUUACAUGAUCGGGCACAGAGAGAUGUGGAGAGGGGACAGGAGUCCUGUCCUUCUCCCUCUGAGCUGUGUGUUCAUCUUCAGGAGCUGCGUGCGAUGACCAUGAGGAGCCACUAACUAACAAAUCAUGCCCACCGGAUGCUGCAACCUGCACCACGUAGCUUAGCAGUGUUAUUUCUGUGAGCCAGCGAGACUCCCGACAAGCAGCUUUGUGUCGGCCUGCUCCAUGUCACCCUCUUUUGCCUUAAAAACCUGCCUAUAAUGAAGGCCAAAGAAAGCAAGCUCAUGGCCGGGAAGCUCACAGCCAGGCGUACGUGGGUGUGAGUCUUCUGGGCUGCUGUCCUCACCCUGGCUCAAGUCAACUCUUUAAGUUAGACUUCAUGCCUCAGCCUCUUCCUUUUAGGUGAACACUGAUGGGAAUACAGGAAGGGCCCCCAUCCUUCCCUGUCUGAAGCUCAGACUCCGCAUGAGAGGACUUCCCACUCCAUCUCAGGAUGGAGACAGCCUGCUGAGGAUGCAGCUUUGUCCAAUGAGGUCAGGAGGGCUGGUGGCAGCGUCUGUUAAUUCCGUUGGGGCAGCCAGUGGCAACUGGCAGUUAUUCCAGCUGAGGAUGCUGGGAUGGAUUUUUUUUUUUUUUUUUUUUUUUUGAGACAGGGUCUUCCUCCGUCAUCCAGGCUGGAGUGCAAUGGCAUGAUCUCGACUCACUGCAGCCUCAACCUCCUGGGUUCAAGCAACUCUUCUGCCUCAGCCUCCCAAGAAGCUGGGAUUACAGACGUGCACCACCAAGCCUGGCUAAUUUUUGUAUUAAUAGAGGGUUUCACCGUGUUGGCCAGGCUGGUCUCGAACUCCUGACCUCGUGAUCCUCUGCUUCGGCCUCCCAAAUUGUGGGGAUUACAGGCGUGAGCCACCGCACCUGGCCUGGGACGGAAUUUUAAGUGAACUGCGGCCCUUAGCUCAUGAGCCCAGCUUCGGUGUCUGAUGAAACGACACCGCAGGGAUGGGGGAGAGGGGAAGAUUCGCAGGUCACGCCGAAACCUCUGGUUAGCCCCGGCUUCCACAUCCUUCCCAAAAUCUUUAGCCCAAGUGCCGCACAGCCCCUUUUGCAUGUCUUCCCCACUCCUUGGUGGCAGAGGCCCCUGUUGGUAAAGCAACAAUAGAGAAGUGGAGAAGAUAAAGAGCUGUGAAAACUGCCCCAGAGAAGCUGCAAGAAGCUUUGCUGGAAUCAGGUUUUGCAUCUCCGAAUCGGAGCUCCAUUUGUUGGGUCGGGGACCAUGCUUAGUGGUUCAAGAACUGACAGAAGAGGUGUUUGCAAAAUGCUUGUUGGGAGGAUAAACAGCUAAAGGAAAUUUUAUCUGAGCCUGAGAACCGCCUGCACCAGCACAAAAGUAAAGCCCCAGCGCCCUCGGGCCAGGCCUGCUGGAAAAAUUCCCAUGUGUCAGCCCCAGGAAGACGUGGGCAAGAUGAGGCGUAUCCUGACCAACGCAGGAAAUGGCCCUGCUCUUCUGCUGGCCCCUCUUCCACCAUCGAGGCCGCUCAUCCAAGCGGCGGGAAGUAAGAGGGUCAACUUUUGCACGGCCAUUGAGAGGUUUCCUGGAAACCUGGCUCUCUCCCCACCGUUGCCCCAUGAGCAUGGUGGUGACGAGCUUGGGCUCUGAGAUCAGAAAGUCUCAAGUGUGAAACCUCAGUCUUCUUCCUUAUUAGCUGUGAGACUUUGGGCAAAUUACUUAACCUCUCUGAACCUUAGUUUCCUCAAACUGUAAAAUGGGGCAAAUGUUGGGUGACACUCAGCAUAACGUCAGAAAUAGUGCCCAAUAAAUGUUGAUCUCAUCGGCCCCACAGCCCAUUCCGCCACUCUCUUCUUUCUCUUCCUCCCCACAACCCAAUUUCAUCAUUGCCUACAAACAGCCACAGGAUAGAACUCGGGACAGUUCGGGACAGCUCUGGACAGCCCAGAGGUUAUUUACAAGUCUAAGAGCAAUCAGUGUGUCCUGCCCAACUGCCCAGCUGUUUGAAAAGCACAGUAAGAAGCUGGUGCUGUCCAUAAGCCACAUAGCUUUCUAGGAAUGACAGGGGUGUGGAUUUACAAAGUCACUCUUGACCCUUUAAAAUAACACAACUAUUUUCUGCUCCCACCAUAUCUCAAGUGGCACCCAGAUUGUGAGGCCUUCCAUCCAGUGAGUAGUGUCAGCUGGAGAGGUGGUGACUGAUUUAGGGCUCCGGUUUAGGGCUGAACCAGGGUCAGCUGCUUCUUUGUGUGUUGGUCCCCUUCUGCGGAAAGCAAAGGGAUUGGACCAGAUGAUCGUGAAAGAACCUUCCGAUGUUAAGAUGUAGAGUUUCGAUGGUUCCAUGAUAGAGAGGGAUCACAGAAAAGCUCCACAAAGCUUAACCUCCCAGGGGGACAAUUACAAUAAUGUGAAGUUAAUGCUAACACAGGAUAGUUUGAUGUGGGUGUGACGGCAUAGGGAGGUCGGGGGCCUGGAGGCUUCUCAGACUCAUUCUCAGCACCAGAUGUGGCAUCAGGAACAGCCUGAAGGGAGGCUAAGGGAUCCCGCCCUCUCCCCAGCUCUGAAGAUGCCUCCACAGUGAAGAAGAGACAGGGAGCCCCCAACUCUGCACUUUCACUGGCUACUCCCACACUGCGGGGCAGGGGAGGAGGAAGACCCCAACACCUCCCACCACCGCUACAGACCCCGACCAAACGUCAGUUCUCACCUGCGCCACCGCCCCAACCACCCCUGAGAGCCAUUAGGUGACAGUUGUGCUUCACCCGCAAAAGGUCUUCCUUUGCCAAUUUUUGUCACAAGUUUUUGCAUAUUGUUUGCAUAAAUUUGCAGGUAGGAUUCAAAAGGUCCUGAUUCCAAUUACACAAGAGAAAACACACUGACUGCAAGUGCAGUUGAAGAAGGUUCUCAGAAGGGCACGCUGGAACCGCUCCCCGGUGCCAGGAGAGGUGUUUGAACUACGUGCUGCUGGGGCGCCCAGACGGGCUUCCCCACGAUCCAGGAAAUCAGAGCUUUUGCAACGUUGGCUUGAAAUCGUGGCUAACAAGACAGAAAAGUGCUCUUCUCAACCCCAGGGGAAGACUGGGGAGGUGGGCGGGGCCCCAGGGCCCACUGAUUCCAUCCAAGAGGGGGCAUGGAAGGACAGCGGCGAGCCCACGUCUGGAGCUUCUCCCUCCUGUGAAAGGCAAACAGAAUCCUGAGAUGCCAAACUCACUGUUCCAAAGGGAAAGGGAAAGCUUGGAAAUGGCGUCACGCAAAACCUGCCUCUCAGGAGAACCAGUCUGUUUCUGAACAGAGAGCUUGCAAGACGGCCGGCCAUGUAUCUCCCCGGGAGGCCUCCCACACUCUGACAGUGUCGAUGAGCAGCUGAUCCUCGCGAGUGUGGGACAAAAGACUAGGGCUUGCUUUUAUUUUUGUUCAGGGACACAGAGCCAACACCACCAGCUACUAAAGGAAUAAAACCACAUCUUGCUUGUUUAAAGCAGUAAAGGAACAAAAUUGCAUAGGCCAGGAGGUGCUUUUGUGUCUCCAGCCGUGACUUCUGGUUAAACACUCGAGAAAAACACAGGCUUGGCUUUUUCUUCUUUUCUGUGUCUACUCUAUCUGACGUCAGAUGCAGGUUUGCUGAGUGCCAG
rnacentral:lncRNA from 10 species